rfam:Roseovarius sp. HTCC2601 scf_1100011001364 genomic scaffold, whole genome shotgun sequence.
UGCCUAUUUUGCCCAGGCGGAGCUCGACCGCCCACUGAAGCGAUGAUCGCCUUCAUCGAAGAGCACCGGAUGGACUUCGGGGUCGAGCCGAUCGGCAAGGUGCUGCCGAUCGCCCCG